rnacentral:rRNA from 1 species
UUAGAGUUUGAUCCUGGCUCAGGAUGAACGCUGGCGGCGUGCUUAACACAUGCAAGUCGAACGGACUUAAUGGAGAGCUUGCUCGAAAUUAAGUUAGUGGCGGACGGGUGAGUAACGCGUGGGUAACCUGCCUCACACUGGGGGACAACAGUUGGAAACGGCUGCUAAUACCGCAUAAGCGCACGGGACCGCAUGGUCUAGUGUGAAAAACUCCGGUGGUGUGAGAUGGACCCGCGUCUGAUUAGCUAGUUGGUAAGGUAACGGCUUACCAAGGCGACGAUCAGUAGCCGGCCUGAGAGGAAGGUCCCCCACAUUGGUACUGAGACACGGACCAAACUCCUACGGGAGGCAGCAGUGAGGAAUAUUGGUCAAUGGGCGGAAGCCUGAACCAGCCAAGUCGCGUGAGGGAAGACGGCCCUACGGGUUGUAAACCUCUUUUUCGGGGGAAUAAAGUUCGCCACGCGUGGCGUUUUGCAUGUACCCCGCGAAUAAGGAUCGGCUAACUCCGUGCCAGCAGCCGCGGUAAUACGGAGGAUCCGAGUGUUAUCCGGAUUUAUUGGGUUUAAAGGGUGCGCAGGCGGCUUUUUAAGUCAGGCGGAAAAAUCGUGGGGCUCAACCCCAUCUUGCAGUUGAUAUUUGAGAGCUUGAGUGCGGGUGAGGUUGGUUGAAUUUGUAGUGUAGCGGUGAAAUGCAUAGAUAAGGCGGAAGAACUCCGAUUGCGUAGGCAGCUGACCAAGCCGUAAAAUGACGGUCAUGCACGAAAGUGCGGGGAUCGAACAGGAUUAGAUACCCUGGUAGUCCGCACAGUAAACGAUGAAUACUUGUUCUUGGCGAUAUAGUGUCAGGGGCAAAGCGAAAGCGAUAAGUAUUCCACCUGGGGAGUACGCCGGCAACGGUGAAACUCAAAGGAAUUGACGGGGGCCCGCACAAGCGGAGGAACAUGUGGUUUAAUUCGAUGCUACGCGAGGAACCUUACCCGGGCUUGAAAGUUAGCGACGGAGGUGGAAACAUCUCUUCCCUUCGGGGCGCGAAACUAGGUGCUGCAUGGUUGUCGUCAGCUCGUGCCGUGAGGUGUCGGCUUAAGUGCCAUAACGAGCGCAACCCUUUUCUCCAGUUACCAUCAUUAGGUUGGGGACUCUGGAGACACUGCCAUCGUAAGAUGUGAGGAAGGAUGGGAUGACGUCAAAUCAGCACGGCCCUUACGUCCGGGGCGACACACGUGUUACAAUGGGCAGGACAGAAAGGAUCGAAGUGGCGACACUGAGGGAAUCUCCAAACCUGCUCCCAGUUCGGAUUGGAGUCUGCAACCCGACUCCAUGAAGCUGGAUUCGCUAGUAAUCGCGCAUCAGCCAUGGCGCGGUGAAUACGAUCCCGGGCCUUGCACUCACCGCCGGUCAAG